rnacentral:tRNA from 4 species
ACACUAUGGGAGCUGGCCAUGCCCGAAGUCGUUACCUUAACCCCUAACAACGCAUCUUCACAGACCAAGAACUACGA